GUGACCGAACCCAAAGUGGUGGCGGGGCUGGUUUGUGAAACCAGUAUUAACGAGUUCGACUCUCGUCGGUCACACCA
rnacentral:tRNA from 1 species